rnacentral:rRNA from 1 species
AUAAGAUAUCAAGGGCAACAGGUGAAUGCCUUGGCGCUGAGAGGCGAUGAAAGACGCGGUAAGCUGCGAUAAGCAUCGGGGAGGAGCUAAACAUCCUACGAUCCGAUGAUUUCUGAAUGGGGAAACCCGAUGGGAGUCAUGUCCCAUCAUCCUGAGCUGAAUAUAUAGGCCCAGAGAAGCCAACCCGGGGAAGUGAAACAUCUCAGUACCCGGAGGAAGAGAAAUCAAACGAGACUCCCAAAGUAGCGGCGAGCGAAAUGGGAAGAGCCCAAACCGGGUGGUUUCGACCAUUCGGGGUUGUAGGGCCGGCAUACGCGAUUCUGGAGUAGGCAGAGGAAGUGAGCUGGAAAGCUCCGCCACAGCGGGUGAUAGCCCCGUACUCGAAACCGAAAAGGACGCAGCCGGUACCUGAGUACUGCGAGGCACGUGGAACCUCGUGGGAAUCUAGGGGGACCAUCCUCUAAGGCUAAGUACUCCUCAGCGACCGAUAGUGAACUAGUACCGUGAGGGAAAGGUGAAAAGAACCCCUGUUAGGGGAGUGAAAUAGAAUCUGAAACCUGUUGCCUACAAGCUGCGAGAGCUACUUCGGUAGUGAUCGCGUGCCUUUUGUAUAAUGAGUCAGCGAGUUACUCUACCGUGCGAGGUUAAGCGAAAGCGUAGCCGUAGUGAAAGCGAGGCUUAAUAGGCCGACUAGUACGUUGGAGUAGACCCGAAACCGGGUGAUCUAUCCAUGAGCAGGUUGAAGCAAGGGUAAAGCCUUGUGGAGGACCGAACCGUCAACGGCUGAAAAAGUUCCGGAUGACUUGUGGAUAGGGGUGAAAGGUCAAUCAAACCCGGUGAUAGCUGGUUCUCCCCGAAAUAUAUUGAGGUAUAGCCUCGGGAAUUGAUUAGCGGAGGUAAAGCACUGACAGAGCUAGGGGUCCUACCAGAUUACCAAACUCUAUCAAACUCAGAAUGCCGCUUAAUCGUAUCCCGGGAGUCAGACGGCGGGUGCGAAGGUUCGUCGUCAAAAGGGAAACAGCCCAGACCAACAGCUAAGGUCUCCAAAUCCAUGCUCAGUGGUGAAGGUAGUGGAACCGUUUAGACAGCCAGGACGUUGGCUUAGAAGCAGCCAUCAUUUAAAGAAAGCGUAAUAGCUCACUGGUCUAAUGGCUCUGCGCCGAAAAUGUAACGGGGCUAAGCAUGGUACCGAAGCUUUGGCAAUCUCCUUUGGAGAUUGGGUAGGGGAGCGUUCGCUGCGGGCUGAAGGUGUAUCGGAAGGUAUGCUGGACUGCAGUGAAGUGAUUAUGCUGACAUGAGUAACGAUAAAAUAUGUGAAAAACAUAUUCGCCGAAAACCCGAGGUUUCCUGGGUAAAGGUAAUCUUCCCAGGGUUAGUCGGAUCCUAAGGUGAGGGUGAAAGCCGUAACCGAUGGAAAACAGGUUAAUAUUCCUGUACUUGUUGUGUAGCGCGAUGGAGGGACGCAGGAAGAUAGGCGGGCCGGGUGUUGGAUAUCCCGGUGCAAGCGUGUAGGAAUAUCCGGUAGGCAAAUCCGCCGGACGAAUCUGAGACGCGAGUCCGUGGGCGCAAGCCCUGAAGCCGUUGAGUCUAUGCUGCCUAGAAAAGCUCCUAAGUUUAUCCACAGCAAUCCGUACCGCAAACCAACUCAGGUGGGUGGGAUGAACAAUCCAAGGCGCUCGAGAGAACUCUGGCCAAGGAACUCGGCAAAAUAACCCCGUAACUUCGGAAGAAGGGGUGCUCUCUAGGGUGACAUGUUUAACAUAUGAAGCCCCGGGGAGCCGCAGUGAAUUGGUGGUGGCGACUGUUUACUAAAAACAUAGGUCUGUGCGAAGUCCUAAAGACGACGUAUACGGACUGACGCCUGCCCGGUGCUGGAAGGUUAAAAGGAGGGGUCAGCGCAAGCAAAGCUCCGAAUUGAAGCCCCAGUAAACGGCGGCCGUAACUAUAACGGUCCUAAGGUAGCGAAAUUCCUUGUCGGGUAAGUUCCG